rnacentral:rRNA from 1 species
CCUACGGGAGGCAGCAGUGAGGAAUAUUGGUCAAUGGACGAGAGUCUGAACCAGCCAAGUAGCGUGAAGGAUGACUGCCCUAUGGGUUGUAAACUUCUUUUAUAUGGGAAUAAAACGUUCCAUGUGUGGGAUUUUGUAUGUACCAUAUGAAUAAGGAUCGGCUAACUCCGUGCCAGCAGCCGCGGUAAUACGGAGGAUCCGAGCGUUAUCCGGAUUUAUUGGGUUUAAAGGGAGCGUAGGUGGAUUGUUAAGUCAGUUGUGAAAGUUUGCGGCUCAACCGUAAAAUUGCAGUUGAAACUGGCAGUCUUGAGUACAGUAGGGGUGGGCGGAAUUCGUGGUGUAGCGGUGAAAUGCUUAGAUAUCACGAAGAACUCCGAUUGCGAAGGCAGUUCACUGGACUGCAACUGACACUGAGGCUCGAAAGUGUGGGUAUCAAACAGGAUUAGAUACCCUGGUAGUC